GACGGAGGAUGCAAGCGUUAUCCGGAAUGAUUGGGCGUAAAGCGUCCGCAGGUGGCAGUUCAAGUCUGCUGUCAAAGACCGGGGCUUAACUUCGGAAAGGCAGUGGAAACUGAACAGCUAGAGUAUGGUAGGGGCAGAGGGAAUUCCUGGUGUAGCGGUGGAAUGCGUAGAGAUCCGGAAGAACACCGGUGGCGAAGGCGGCCUGCUGGGCAGUGGCUGACACUGAGGCGCGACAGCGUGGGGAGCAAACAGG
rnacentral:rRNA from 1 species